GUGCCUUGGAUUAUGAGUACCAAUAUCAAUGCGAUGAAGAAGAACACAGGUCUUUUUAUACUUAUAGUUAAUAUUUGAGAAAUUAAUCAACGUACAUUUGAUUUUAUUUAUUUUUUUGACUUUUUUUUUUCAUGUACGUCAAAGAGUUUAUCUUGCAUGAUGUAUAUUCCAUAAAAAUUAAGAGCAUUAAAUAUUUUAUUUAGAGAACAUUACAUAUAUUUUGUUGAAAUUUUAUGAUUGUUUUUUUAAUGGCUAAAUUGCGUAUUAUCCGAUUUACGUUUAUUGUAGGUCAAAAAUAAAGGUUAGUCUCCUAGAUUAAAAACAUCCAAGUAUGGCUGAUGAAAAAGCCGACCAUCUGGGUGACGAAAAUCUUAAUCACAAUUUCAAGCUUAAAAACCCUAGGCAAAAUUAACCCCAAUAUUCUAUUUUCUAAUAUUUAAUUCUUAUUUACUAUUUUUUUUUUUAAAUUAUCAUACAUAUAUUGUCUACCCGUGGACGUUUUAGACAGAUGUAACAGAGAUCACUAUAUAAUUUAUCAUUUUUUUAAUUUUCUUUGUUUGAUAGAUUUUCCCUAUCUCAAUCUUUUUUUGUUUGAUAAUUUCUGUGUUACGGUACUAUUUUCUUUUAUUUUCUACCAAAAAAUAAUAAUGUUUACUUUUUUUUGAAGGAAUAAUAAUGUUUACUUAUUCCUUCUUUUUGUUUUUGAUCAAAUGUUUACUUAUUCCUUCUAUUCUUAUAUUUUCUACCAAGAAAAAAUAAUGUUUACUUUAUUCCUUCUGUUGGACUAAAAAGAAAGGUAUAACAAAUUAAACGAAAGGAAAAUAGUUUUGGUCAUCAGGAUUUUUUCUCAAAGAUCUGUAAUAGUCUGAUUAACUUAUUAAGGUGAAAAGAUUGAAAGUAUUAUCUUAUCUUAUACAAUGUUUUCGUUCACUCAAGUUUUGAUUUGAUGCCUCCUGAUAUUAUUAGGGGGAAAGUCAAAUAUUUUUUUUUUUUAACAAGUAAAAAUAGAUUAUAUUAACACCGCAAAAGUUAUCUCUUUAGUACAAGGUGUGCCAAGAAACCACCGAAAAAAUUCAGUUCACAUAAGAUAUAAUAGAGUCUAUCCAACGCCUAAACACGACAUAGGACUAGACCACCACAUAUGAUCACCAAAUACAAAACAAGCCUUUUUGGCUUUCAACCACCACAAAAAAUAAUACUUUACUUUGUCUAGUAGCUGAUCUAUAGAUAACUCUUUUUGUUUAAAUAAUCUAGCAUUUCUUUCAUUCUAUAUGAUCCAAACGGUCAGAAGUCAAAUAAGCUGAAGAAAUGACCGUCUUGAUUUCAUAACACCUGUAUAGUGAGAAAACUGAAUAAAGUGAUCAGAAAUUUCUUGAUGGUCAACACCAUCAAAACCAAUCCACGACCGCGCUAAAGGCCACAAUCACCCAAAACAAGAGCAUGAGAGAAACAAAUGACGAGCAUCCUCCACCUGACCACACCCCGAAACACACAUAGAAGCCUCCACAUUAAUUACACCACGUAAUGCCAAAUUAUAUUUUCUUUUUCGAUAGAUAGAUUUGUUUUUAAGGAAUGAUAGAUUGAACGUUUUGUCUUUCACAUAUUUGCCUUUAAAUACUCCGAAUAAGAAAAGGAAAUUGAUUUAGUAUUAUUUAGGUGUUGCAAUAUGGUUUCGCAAUCCGCAGGUGUGCUAGGUUAUGUACCGAUGUUCGUUGCUUCAGAUUUGGACUAUGUUAUUUACCCUCUAAGGUAGACAUGGCAACGGGGUGGAUCGGGGGCGGGUUUAAGCAUCCCCGUUCCUUCCCCCCGCUUCCAUGCACCCGCCCCGUCCCCAAAUCUUAUUGGCGGUAAAAAUUGAACAUCCAACCCCGCCCCACCCUCAUCCGCAAAAAGUUUAUUUUUUAUAAAAUAUUUAAAACAUACAUUUUUUUUGACAAGUUAAAAAAUACAUAUUAUUUCACUUUUUUCAUAGCAACAAAAAACAAUAAUUAUAUUAAUAAUUAAAUAUCUAUCUAAUAAAAAAAUUUAAAAGAGCAAAAUAAUUAUAAUAAAUAUGUUUCUAAAGAGUAAUAAUAUAUUAAAAUAGGCCGGUGCUUAUGGAAAUAAAAUUAUAAAAUUUAAUAAAGUAAAUUUCAAAAAGCGGGUGUGGGGCAAGGGUGGGUGCGGGGCGGGUGUAAGCAUCCCUCGCCCUCGGCCCUUCCCCCGUAGUAAAAUUCAGAUUUCUCCCACACCCGAACCCAGUUAAAUCGACGUUUCCCGUUAAAUUCGGGGCGUGGGCGGCUGGGUCUGGCGGGGAAGAGUUUUGUUGCCAUGUCUACUCUAGGGUUGUUUGAAUACCAAUUUUUGUAUUCUAUUGGGUUAGGUUUUUUCUCAGAUUAAAUGAUGUUUAAUUGUCAUUUGAGCGAGUUUUGGUUUACCCACCGUAAAAAAAAAGUUGUAGAUUCCCCUUUUUCAUUUGAAGAUUAUUUAAUUUUGAACCUUCAAAACAGCUGACUAUGGGAAAUGGAUGAGGUAACACACUAAUUUGGAUUUGACUUUGUAAAAUUGCUAACAUGGCACACUAACUUACAAAUCAAUCUUCAUUUUUUCUAUUUUAUUCAAAGCAAUUUUACAUAGUCAGAUCCAAAUCAGCACACCACCUCAUGCAUUUUCAUAGUGAGCUUUCUUUAAGGUCCAAAACCAAAGAAUCUUCAAAUGGUAAGGAGGAAUUUACAUCUCUUUUUACGAGUCAAACUAUUUACGGGUCAAACUAAAACUCAUCCAAAUGACAUGGGGUAAACAACAUUUAACUCUUUUUUCCUCGGUAUACUUUUGUGUUCAUUAGAUUUUGUACUACAAAACUUCUUAAUCUACUUGCUUAAAAAAAUAGAGAAUUAGAAAGUAUCUAAAAAUAUUUUACUCAAUGUUCUCUUAAAAAGAUUUAUUUCAAUAUUUUAAUCAUUAACAUCGUAUUGAAAAAAGUAUGUUAAAAUACUGUUAGUAGAUUUUAAAAUAUUAAAUUAGAAAAUAUUAAAAUAUCAUGAAUAGUUUGUUGAGAUAUUUAUGAUGCAUAAAAUAAUUGAUAUUAUUUAGUGGAUAAGAUCAAAGUAAUAUAUGAAUUUUGUUGAGAUAUUUAUGUCAAAUAAAAUAUUAGUUUUGAAAAAAUAAUAAAAUAUGACUUACUUGCCCAACAAGUUUGAUACCGUUUCAAUUUUUAGAUAAGCUUUAGUUGUUUAACUGCCUAAUAAGUGUAGAAAGCCUAUAAAAGGGAGUUUAGGGUUGAACAUAUGUUUCACUGAGACCUUGAAAUCAACAAAGAGAAGCCUCGUUAGAAAUCUUCAACUCCAAAGAACACAAUGCUGAGAAAUCUACAAUGCUACGGUACAUUCUCAAAUCCUCUCUAUUUAUGUCUUCUCUUCUCCCAAAUCAUUAAUCACAAAGGACACAAUGCCGAGAAAUCUAAAAAAUAUGAUUCCAUUUACUCCGGUUCUCUCUAACUUUUUCAUUAAUCACACACUAAUCAUUCAGUAAUUAUUGUUAAUUUGUUUAAUUAAUCCAAUUUCUUGUGAUUAGGUUUGUUUGAUUCAUAGCAUAUACUAAAACUUCAAUGAAGUCCAACCGUUAGAAAAUAUGGAGUUUCUUGAGAUGCUUGGUGAAGGAGGUUUCAGUAGAGUUUUCCGUUGCCGUACGUGAAGUCAAAGCUAAUUGAAUCUUGGCUGUCAAACAAAUCUCUAUUCUUGAUAGUUACAAUGGUGUUGCUAAUUCAAUCAUCAAAGAAUAGAGAUUUGUUUAACAGCCACGAUUUGAUUAGUUUCAGUAGAUUAUCUACCGUAGCAUAGAAUCAAAUUUCCUGAAAGAAAUUGUGAAUCAACCAAAACGGUGGAUCAAUCGAAACACAAAUAACAAUAAUGUUUCAACUGAUGAAAACAACUCCUCUGCUGAAUAAAACCGAGAAAGUGCAAUAUCAUUGGGAUGAAGAAGAAAACUGGUAUUUAUAUUUAGGGUUAAAUAUGUAUUUCAUCCUUGCAAUUAGGGGUCGUUUAAAAAUUGAUCCCUGUAAUAGCUAAUCAUGGCAAUUUACUCUUGCAUUGUUUAAUCAUUUAAAAUUUCGUCCCUCUCCCCACUUAAUCACUGCCACGUCACUAAUUUGAUGACGUGACAAUCACUGUCACACACGAAAUUCCAAUUUUACCCCUGGGUUUCCAAUUCUUUCUUCAAUAUGUUGUCCUCUUCGUAAGGGAAAAAUUGGAAUUUCAUGUGUGGCAGUGAUUGCCACGUCAUCAAAUUAGUGACGUGGCAGUGAUUAAGUUGGUCAAAGGACAAAAUUUUAAAUGAUUAAUGAUUGCAAGGCUAGUUUGCAAGGAUUAGCGAAUACAGGACUAAUUUUUAAACAACCCCUAAUUGCAAGGAUGAAAUACAUAUUUAAGCCUUAUAUUUAUAGUUAAUAUUUAAGAUAUUAUUUAUUUUUUGAAUAAUUAAUAUUUGAGAUAUUAAGUAACGUACAUUUGAUUUAAUUUUUUAACUUUUUUUUUUCAUGUACGUGCCGGUUAACAUUUCCCUAUAAAAAAAGAAGAAAACCGGAAGCAACUUUGACAUUACCUUAUCGAAUGGAAAUUUCAACACUCUUGUCUAUAGGGACACCAUUCCAAAUGUUGAAACACAACCAAUUGUGGAGCAUACUAUUCGUUCACUAUAUACCAAUUAUUCAUUAUUCCAAAUAUUUAGGAUUUGAAAUCAGUAAUGAGAAUGCAUUGGUAUUAAAUCUUUUGAAAAAGAAUUAUGUCACUCAUUGUGCUCCACCUGAGAUAAUGCAACAACAAAAAAUUAUGCAACGACCAAAAUUUAAUGCAUGCACUCAUAUAGUAAAAACUUGCUUGUUUACUUACAUUUAAA
rnacentral:lncRNA from 1 species